AAGUCGUAACAAGGUUUCCGUAGGUGAACCUGCGGAAGGAUCAUUAACACGUAUCCAACGUUAAACAACCCUGUGAACUUUCAGCGCUCUUGUAGCCCCGGAGGAACAGCAAUCCCGGUAAAUCAAAUGGCGGAAAGAGUUUUGAUUCGGGACCUCUGUCCAAAAGGUAUCAAGUUACAAUCGAGCAGAGCGGUUGCCAGAGGUCGAUCACCGGCCGGCAGACAUGUCACAGGGCUUUACGCCCCUUCAUUCACCCCUUGCCUAAUCAAGCCUCGCGGAAACGCCGGGCAUAAAAACCGAACAACUGUUAACAAUGGAUAUCUUGGUUCUC
rnacentral:misc_RNA from 1 species